rnacentral:lncRNA from 1 species
AAUAUCAAUCACAAGAAUAUCUAGAAAGCGCUAUAAGAACCUUUAAAAAAAUGAGUAACAUGACUUCAAAGAAAAUGCACUUCUACUUAUUUUAAUCUCAAACACUACACCGAACCAAGGCAACUAUCCGAGCCCAAGAAAUUCCUGCUAAAAAACUUCAAUCUCAACUGCCAAACCUGCAUAGAAUCAAAACACAUACAAAAUUGUAAUAAGUUACAAAAGCGAGCUUCCAAAUUAAUCCAAAGAGUAAUAACAUCCAUGGAAAUGCCACUACUAUAUUAUGGAAACAGGUAAAUGUGGGUAACACACGUGAAAACAACCAGACUAGUUACAAGUUCAAAAGAAUUUGUCCGAAGAAAAGUGUGUCAAAUGAAAGUAUAAUCUAAGUUAGGCUACAAGUGACAAGUAACAAGCACACAUCAGAGCUAAAAGUACAGUAGCAGCAGCAGUUGGUCCAGUCAUCGGUUCUGGACCGAACAGACAAUAUGUGCAUGGGGCCAACCAGGCUGGGAGCUAUCUAUUUUCUGGCCUAGCAAACAGAGAUGAGAUUUCUCAAAGAAGCAAACAAACGUAAUAGAGACAUGUACUUAGUUUUUUUUCUGAGAGGAAGCAGUGCGCCUGUACAUGUAUUUAGUUUAUCUUAUCAACCAUUUCUGUACUCUAAAAGAAAUGAGAAAAAAGUGACAUGCACUUAGGUUUUUUUUGUGAGAGGAAGCUGUGCGCAGAUGUAAGUACUUGGAUUUUCUGGAUCAAAAUUUUCUGUAUAAGCGAUCAGCUAAAAAUGAUGCAAAGAAAAUUCGGCCAGCAUAGACACUAUACCACACCAUUCCUUAACAAACAAGAAUGAUAGUAAAGAAGUAACAGACUAACUUAAAGAUAAUUAAGGCAAACUGGGCAUAAAAAUAGGCCAAGUUCAAAUCCAAAUAUGUAAUGUUGUGGGCUAUACUAACUCAAUAUUUAAAUCAAAAUCAGCACCGAAGGAUUUUUCAUAUAACUUGAUGCUAAUGCUGCAAGUUCAUCUCAAAGCGCCAACAAAUACAGUACUAAACAAUACUCCCUCCGUUCCUAAAUAUAAGGUGUAUUAGUUUUUAAAAAAGUCAACUGUUGUCUAUGUUUGACCUACUUUACAGCAAAAUAUAUAAAGAUUUAUAAUACUAAAUAUAUAAAAUAUAAAAAUAUAGUUCAUAAUGAAUCUAGUGAUCAUGAUUUGGAAUUCUAGACAUUGAUAUUUUUGUCUAUAAACUUGGUCAAACUUAGAGAAGUUUGACUUUUUGGAAAAAUAAUACACCUUAUAUUAAGGAACGGAGGGAGUACUUGCUUGCCAAGUUAACUUCAAAUGGCAUGCAAAAUAUUAACAAAGAACAUGACACAGUUUCAUUGAGAGAUCUCCCACACUAAUAGUUUGUUUGUGGAGUACUAAGCUUUGUACUUUUAUUUCAUGAAAAAAAUAAAAUAUUUAGUAAAUUAUUAAACAAGAAAAUACUUGAUAAACGGUGAACUAGUAGUUAGGAAAGUCUAGUAGAGUAUGGAUACAAUGCAUGAUAUCAGGGACAUUGUCCAAUGCAGAUUUUCUGCACAUAGAAAUAUCUUUACAGUUAUAACUUUACUGGAACCACAUAACAGUCCACACCUUGAACAACUCACAACAGUCCGCACCUUGAACAUCUCAGAAUCUACAGCCUGAAUAAUUCACAUCAAGAAUGGAAGGGUAUCAAGCCCACCCUAUUUUGCUCAAGGACGGUGUCGUCGGCGUCGAUUAUGUGGGAGAUGUACUGAAUAUAAUGUGCAAAGCAAAGAUAUUAGUGUGACAAUUGGAUAUGUGGUUUCAUUCAUUAUUACUGAAAUGAAAAUGUUGUCUCAACUGAACCAAAUUCUUACAGAACUAUGCCUUCCCAAAUGUCUAAAUUUACUAACUGGAUUCUUAAAGGAUUGAUUCAAUCGCAUACUAACUGAACUAAGGAACAAUGUACAACGGGUAGCCGCACAUUAUUUUCCAUAUUUGCAUUGGUGAGACUAAAACACACAUAUCAAACACCAAAUUACCAGUCCUUAAAAUGUGCAACUAAAAUGAAAUACCUUUUGCUGUGACCACACUAUAAACCUUACAUGUCCAGCAGGCAGUAGCUAAACUGAACAUUUGCUGCCACUGACAGCACAUGCUUUUGACCCUAAACACACAUGAAGGUAUCAAGGAGGUUAAUUGAACAUGGUAAAAGUGAAAUAUUUAACAUUUGUUGAUUUUACAUAUCGAAUCAUUUAAUACAUUGAGGACCCUAAACAGAUAAAACAACCGAAUUCAAAAACAGAUGUGAGUUAUCAACCCUUCAGACUAGCAUACUUAUGGCAGUUUAUCUUAUGUAGCGUAAUGUAAAUACAGUAAUUAGCACACAACAUAAUUAUCCUUCUGUUAGCUUAUCCUCAUGUAUCCUUAUUUAGUUUAUAUUGCAUACAUGAAUUUUGUUUGAAUUACUGCUUCAUCUAUUCAUUUUAUUUCAUCCAUUCUGUCAUACGGAUUCCAUCUUUCCUUAGCUUUGUUAGUCCACACACCGGCUGUAGAGGAGGAGGAACAAGCGUCAGUAUUUGCAUCUAAUUCAUAAGAUUAAAACAAGGAAGAAGAAAUACACUGACGAUUAAGAGCAUAUCUAGGAAAGGAGAAGGUGCACAAUAUAACUAGCUAAGGAGACCAGGCCAGCUCGUCCUUUCACUGAAUUGGGUGUAAGAUGCAUAUAUUUUUACUACAAUCCAUUCCAUUUAUCUUAUUUUACUUUCAUAUAUUAAAAUCGGUGCACAUGAAUGCAUGCAUCUAACAGUAUCAUAAGAAUCAGUAUGCUUUCUCUUUGCACAUGUAGUACGUUGCACCAAACACAUUCUAUUGUGGAUACUACAUAGCCUUAUUUUAAAAUUCUGCCACAACGUCAUUGUUAAGUUAUAACUAAUUCAGAAUUUGUGAAAAAAAUUAGCAAACCUUCUCAAGUGGCUAGCUUCUAAUGGUAUCGGUUUUCCAAGAGUUGUUAUUGAAUACAUCAUGGACAGCAAAUCAUGCACAAAGCUCGUUUUGCACUAUAAAAAACAGUAUGCAAACCAUUAACUUUAGCAACAUCAGCUAUACCUGAAUGCUGAUAUUAGAAAAUAGAACAUCCAGUCAACUGAUUAUGCAAAAAGCACCUAUGAAAGAACACCGAAAUAGUGCAUCCACCAAAAUGGUUAUACAAAGAGCACCUACGAACCAGCAUAUAGGCCAUCGGAUUAACAGGUUUCCCACACUAUCCAACACAUAAUAGAACCAACUAAAGGUGAAACGAGUCCUACAAGAAAAACUAGAAUUCCUACUAGACAAUUUAGCCCAUUAUUCAGGCGCAUACAAGUAGUAAUCUACAUGUAAUAGAGUAUGGCCCAGUCAUGGGCUCUGAACAAAGGAGGGACGCAGCUCACCAAAGAGGCUUGUAGAUGAUGCAACUGUCGCAGUGCAGGUCAGCCACCGCCGUCGCGUGGCAGAGGAGGUCGUUGCAGGAUGCACUGCCGC